ACCGCAUGACUUGUGCCAUACCCUCCUGCCUCGUGCUGUCACCGCGCUGCCAUCAGCCACGCUGAGAGGGACAGCCGAGGUGACGCGGGGCCACCCCGGGAGCGGCUCAGACAGCAGAUGCAGCAGUUUGGCUGAGCUUCCCUGGCUGCUAGGGCAUUUCGUCAAGCAUGAGUUCCCUCAGUUUUCAGAGAGGAAGUUUUCCAACUGAGCCUUGAAGGAACACUGCACUCAUCAGUAUCCCCCACUGCCCUCCUGUGUGACCUGCAAGCAGCAAGGGAGGGACUGAUCGCUCGAGACCUCAUGUCAAUCUGAGAGGCCUCUGAAUAUCUUCAUUUUCUUUUCGACAAAAAAUAUUUGACCCACUUAAAAUGAAUCUUGUUUACCUGCAUGAAUAGAUUUACUAAUGUUAGCAGGAGUAAGAUGAGCAGACUGGCACUAUUCACAGUGCUAUGCAUCUGAAAUUUUGCAUACAUUAGAAGUUAAGACAGACUUCCUCAGAAGGAAUUCUUUUUCCAUAAGGAAAAGGAAAACCAUAUAUACCAUGGAUGGCAGCAGAAACCAACACGAAAUAAUUACUCCUAUGACACAAUGAGGAGCAUACAGAACGACCUGCAGGAUCUGGACAUACAUUGCAAGGAGAGGAGCUGCACAGCUCCAACUGGUGCACUGAGUUGUCAGAGCACUGCUGCUGGUACUUGGGGCUUCUAAAGGUAUGGUCUGUCAGCAAGAUUUUGAGUCCCUAUUUGGAUGCAAUCAAGCUGGAUUUUCAUCUCUAGCAAGCUGUGUUAAUGUACCUGACGUUCUCUUGAGGCUGGCCCUAAGAUUUGUAGCUUGUAAUUUCUGUUUCUAGGCUCAUCCUUUCUGUGGUCCUCAAAAUCAGGGAAGGAAAUCCCUUUUUAAUUUUGUUGCCAGUAAGGUCCCUUGAGCCAAUUGAUCUUAUUCAGGACUUCAGCCAUACUUUGCCCAAGAAUGCAAGGAAACUUCCUGGAUCAGAUGUGAGAUGGAAAUACAAGUGAAAUCUGGAUAAAUUUUGCUUGAUGUCUGAUGCUCUUUUUCAUACCUAGCAGCUAGGAUGUGCGGCCCAGUGAACACACUCAAACCAGAAGAUGCAUUGCCAAGCCAGGAGUUCUCAGCUGUUUCUAACAACUCCUAAACCCCAAGGUACAAUCCCAAGGAGCAGAUCCAGAGAGGCAGCAGGGUCAGGCUUGGCAAAGCCAACACUGGGCAGGAGGCGCAAGCUCAUGAGAGCUGCUGCGCUGAGCCAGGCAACGGGGACGUGGCUCUGCUGCUCCCCUCUCCUUGGAGACCUCCAGAACUGGGGAUGGCAAACAGUGGCUGACAGCAGUGAGCACAGUGCCAUGAGUGUUCCCUGUCUGACCAUCAUGAGAACUGCCACUAAAACUGGUCUGCAAGUCUGAGAACAGGAUUUGUUUUUUUGUUAAGAACUAUGUACAAAGGGGGCAGAUAAUUCUGUUCAUGCUUGAAACAGUGAGAAAAGAAGUAACAGUGAGUGCUUUGCAGAAUACAUUUUCCUGUGAGUAAAAGAUUUCAAGGCA